UACGGAGGGGGACUAGCGUUGUUCGGAAUUACUGGGCGUAAAGCGCACGUAGGCGGAUUGUUAAGUCAGGGGUGAAAUCCCGAGGCUCAACCUCGGAACUGCCUUUGAUACUGGCAAUCUCGAGUCCGGAAGAGGUGAGUGGAAUUCCUAGUGUAGAGGUGAAAUUCGUAGAUAUUAGGAAGAACACCAGUGGCGAAGGCGGCUCACUGGUCCGGUACUGACGCUGAGGUGCGAAAGCGUGGGGAGCAAACAGG
rnacentral:rRNA from 1 species